rnacentral:lncRNA from 7 species
UGAUUUGAUAACAAGCCUUUUGGUUCACAUUCAUAAGAAGUGAGUGAUGAAGACGACAAGCAGAACCAAGGGGGCCCUGCCUGCAGCCUUCAGGUAGAGGAGGACCGCCAGGUUUAUUGCACAGCCUCCUUUCCACAGGCUGGCACAUGAGAACUGCACUACAAGGCUCUGGUGGACAGCACACAGCAUACCGUAGUGCCAUCAAGCUAUAGAGGAACAGAACUCUUCCUGGAGUAGUGAUGGAGGAUCCCAACAGCUAACUGUAUUGGAGGCUGAAGUGAGCCCAAUUGGGAAGGAGUGGCAAAACACCCCAUUGUGACCAACCCAGAGGCUCUGUGCAACGUUGGCAUAGAUCACCUCACAGGAAGACACCUCAAGGACUCAAACCAUGGCAUAGAUCACCUCACAAGAAGACACCUCAAGGACUCACUUGGUUUAACCUGACAGACAGCACGAUGAGAAAUCUGGCAAUGCCAGAGUGCCACUUGGGCACCAGCUGCUGCAGGCCUACAGCAGCAGACACUGCUCCAGAGGGCCAACAGGGCCACUGUCGCUGCUGCGAGGAGCUUGGCACAGAAGAACAUCCCUGGAGCAGCGAGCUAAAUGCAUUGAGAUGUUUGGAGAUGUCCUCAGCCAUCUUCAGCCUGAAGCACCACUGAGACCCGCAGCUGCUGCAGAACACAAUGAAGCUACCAGAGAUGCUAAUGGAGGAGCUGAAGGGUUCAUAGGCAGAAAGCAAGGGGUGUGCUGUGGAGCCUACAACCAUGGAUUGCAGGAAUGCCUUUCUUAAAGCCAACAGAAUGCCAUCUUUUUUGAUGGAAAUAUAACAGUGGGACUUGAAAGCAUGACCAGCGCCCAGCGUUCAAAACAGCAUGCGUAAGGCCAGACACAAACUGUGAGACUAUCUUUAAGUCAUU